GACGUAUAACAGAGACAGCGCGAGAAUUGUCAGGGGAUGCGAGUCUGCUGCGUUCUCACU
rnacentral:misc_RNA from 1 species